GAUUAAAUUUGUUUAUUUUGUAUUGAGUAUUUGUUUAUAUAGAUUAAAUUUGGAUAUUUGGAACUAGUCUACUAAAAGAAUCAUUCCUUAUAAAUGAUAUGUCUCUAAGUCUUAUAAUUAAAAAAAAAAAUGAUGAUCAAACCACAGACCUGUUCUGAUAUAAUGAGGACAACUAUUAUAUUUUCCUGAUUACUUUCAAUAAGAUGUUAUUUUUACUGUUACGUGAACCCACAGUAAUCAUUUUUAAUUUGUUUUAGGUACCUGCAAACUUAUUGGAUACAUACCAGUGACACUUGUCCUCCAAUGUAUAAGAUAAUCCUUGAAUGAUCAAUGAAGUAAAAAAAAAAGAAACAAGGGAUUAAGAAAAGAACACAUGAAAUAUUGGGUACACAGUUAAAUCUUCACUUUUUACCUUGCCGUGUUUCUCUCAAGUAGAAGAUAUGAUGGAUGUGCCCAGAGCAAGAUUGUGAAUCGGAAAUGAUAAUUAAUAUAUUUUAAAAGAAAUAAAAACAUUUUCCUUUAAA